GACAGAGGCCUCGAGCGUUAGGCGGAAUCACUGGGCUUAAAGCGUGUGUAGGCGGACGCCUAAGUACCUUGUGAAAUCCCACGGCUCACCCGUGGAACCGCUGGGUAUACUGGGUGUCUUGGGCCAUUCAGGGGCAACUGGAACAAGCGGUGGAGCGGUGAAAUGCGUAGAGAUGUGGAGGAACACCGAUGGCGAAGGCAGCCUCCUGGGCCAAUACUGACGCUCAUGCACGAAAGCGUGGGGAGCAAACAGG
rnacentral:rRNA from 1 species